AACGAACGCUGGCGGCAUGCCUAACACAUGCAAGUCGAACGAAACCUUCGGGUCUAGUGGCGCACGGGUGCGUAACGCGUGGGAACCUGCCCUUAGGUUCGGAAUAACUCCCCGAAAGGGGUGCUAAUACCGGAUAAUGUCUUCGGACGAAAGAUUUAUCGCCUUUGGAUGGGCCCGCGUUGGAUUCGCUAGUUGGUAGGGUAAAAGCCUACCAAGGCGACGAUCCAUAGCUGGUCUGAGAGGAGGGUCAGCCACACUGGGACUGAGACACGGCCCAGAAUCCUACGGGAGGCAGCAGUGGGGAAUAUUGGAAAAUGGGCGAAAGCCUGAUCCAGCAAUGCCGCGUGAGUGAUGAAGGCCUUAGGGUUGUAAAGCUCUUUUAACCGGGAUGAUAAUGACAGUACCGGGAGAAUAAGCUCCGGCUAACUCCGUG
rnacentral:rRNA from 1 species